CUCGGGGUGUCGGGCGGUGUCCGCGCCCCUCCCCACCCCAGGGCCCUUCUCGGGGGAGAUAUCCAGGAGCUGAAAGAGAUUCCUCAGGAGGAAGUGGAAACCUCUGAAAGGAGAGGAAACCGACUCUUUUGCAAGAAAACUGAGCGCCGGCUGGAAGGCCUAAGGAAAGCAGCCGAUGGCUCCCAAGACAACUCUGUCCGGCCAGUACUCCAGGGCAACUUCAACCCCACUAGGACCCAGGCCAAAACCAUAUAUAUAUAUAUAUAUAUAUAAAUUAACGCAAAACAGAGCCACUUUGGUGCCUACCCCUCCACAAGUAGGUAGGCACAUCCAGGUAGCUCUGUCAGAAGAUGGGACCUGGCGCCUUGCAGGGGUAGCCCUAUGGAGAUCCAGAAGCCCCGUUUCGAGCUACGAAGUCUCUCUUCUACUGCAGUCUUCUCUCCAACGUGGAGAUCUAGCAACUUCCCUCCCCCUGGGAUUCCCUGUGAAUCCACUCUAGUUGGGAUAUAGCCUCUCUACAGCUCAGUGACGUAGCGCGCCAAAACCAAGUACCCACCCCGGCAACUGGAAGACCUAGCUGUCCUCCAUCCCGCCUCCGCAGUCGAUAAUCUCCAGGAUCCAAGCAAAGUGCCUGUCCACGUUGUCACCAGAUCCACAAGCGCUUUUGAUGAGAGCUGCUACCCUUUUGGAAACACGAUUCCCUCUCCCUAGUAGAGAAGAAUCUAUUCUUCUGGGCUGGCGUAGACAAAGAAUAACCAAGAUAAAGUAUGUGGUGUGAAAAUAUCAG
rnacentral:lncRNA from 1 species